rnacentral:rRNA from 1 species
CACGUAGGGACGAGCGUUGUCCGGAAUCAUUGGGCGUAAAGCGCGCGUAGGCGGCCCGGAAAGUCGGAUGUGAAAUCCCGGGGCUCAACCCCGGGCCUGCAUCCGAUACUCCCGGGCUGGAGGCAGGUAGGGGAGAUCGGAAUUCCUGGUGUAGCGGUGAAAUGCGCAGAUAUCAGGAGGAACACCAGUGGCGAAGGCAGGCUCGCUGG